rnacentral:rRNA from 1 species
AGAGAGAGUUCAAGAGUACGUGAAACCGUUCAGGGGUAAACGGGAGAAAUCCUGAAUUCGAAAGGGAGGAGGAUUCAAAUACUCCCAGCAUCAGGCCCCGCUCCACCAGAUCUCGUCGGGCGCCCGCAGCGCAGUGUGUUACUGGCGGUGUCGUUACCGGCGGGACUCGGUGGUUCGGACUGGAAAACUCUGUUGCGUUUUGGGUGGUUUUAUUUCUCCCCUAGUAGAAAGUCGCGACCCAUUGGGAGUCGGUCGAAGGCCCGGGAUGGUAGACCACGUCUUGUGAUGUCAAUCAGGGAGUGUGGACGCUCGGUGACCUGGCUGAACUCGAUGGAAGAUGAGAGGAGACGAUGCGCUGGACAUGGACGACAGCGUUCCGGCUCUGGCGUAUGGCUGGUGCAAGGUAACUAAAACCGGGGAUACUGGUGCAUGCACUGCUCCGACCGUGUACUGGCUCGUCAGAUGUCUCGGACUCGAUCAGA